CGAAAGCCUGAUCCAGCAACGCCGCGUGAGGGAUGACGGCCUUCGGGUUGUAAACCUCUUUCAGUAUCGACGAAGCGCCCUGUCGGGUGGUGACGGUAGAUACAGAAGAAGGACCGGCCAACUACGUGCCAGCAGCCGCGGUAAUACGUAGGGUCCGAGCGUUGUCCGGAAUUAUUGGGCGUAAAGGGCUCGUAGGCGGUUUGUCGCGUCGGGAGUGAAAUCUUACAGCUUAACUGUGAACUUGCUUCCGAUACGGGCAGACUUGAGGCAUUCAGGGGAGAACGGAAUUCCUGGUGUAGCGGUGAAAUGCGCAGAUAUCAGGAGGAACACCGGUGGCGAAGGCGGUUCUCUGGGAAUGUACUGACGCUGAGGAGCGAAAGUGUGGGGAGCGAACAGGAUUAGAUACCCUGGUAGUCCACACCGUAAACGUUGGGCGCUAGGUGUGGGGCCUAUUCCAUGGGUUCCGUGCCGCAGCUAACGCAUUAAGCGCCCCGCCUGGGGAGUACGGCCGCAAGGCUA
rnacentral:rRNA from 1 species